CCUACGGGAGGCAGCAGUAGGGAAUCUUCCACAAUGGGCGAAAGCCUGAUGGAGCAACGCCGCGUGGGUGAAGAAGGUCUUCGGAUCGUAAAACCCUGUUGUUAGAGAAGAAAGUGCGUGAGAGUAACUGUUCACGUUUCGACGGUAUCUAACCAGAAAGCCACGGCUAACUACGUGCCAGCAGCCGCGGUAAUACGUAGGUGGCAAGUGUUAUCCGGAUUUAUUGGGCGUAAAGGGAACGCAGGCGGUUUUUUAAGUCUGAUGUGAAAGCCUUCGGCUUAACCGGAGUAGUGCAUGGGAAACUGGGAGGCUUGAGUGCAGAAGAGGAGAGUAGAACUCCAUGUGUAGCGGUGAAAUGCGUAGAUAUAUGGAAGAACACCAGUGGCGAAAGCGGCUCUCUGGUCUGUAACUGACGCUGAGGUUCGAAAGCGUGGGUAGCAAACAGGAUUAGAUACCCGGGUAGUC
rnacentral:rRNA from 1 species